rnacentral:rRNA from 1 species
UACGGAGGGUGCAAGCGUUGUUCGGAAUCAUUGGGCGUAAAGGGCGCGUAGGCGGCCCGCAAAGUCAGGUGUGAAAUCCCGCGGCUCAACCGCGGAACUGCGCCUGAUACUGGCGGGCUUGAGUACGGGAGAGGGUAGCGGAAUUCCGAGUGUAGAGGUGAAAUUCGUAGAUAUUCGGAGGAACACCAGUGGCGAAGGCGGCUACCUGGACCGAUACUGACGCUGAGGCGCGAAAGCGUGGGGAGCAAACAGG